UUGAAUGUACUGAAUUAAGGAAUUGGACUGGCAAUUAUAACCCUGGGUAUUGAGUACUGGUACUACAAGUACAAGAAACCUCUAUCAAGGGUCUCCUCUUCUGCUCAAAAUAUUAUUGAUAAAAAGGGACAUGCAUUUGACAAAUCUUACGGAGGUCGAGGAAGUGCAGAUGUGGUUCCUGUAGGGAACCCUUGGUAAUCAUAUCUUCGAAUGUUACAACCUUGGUAAUCAUAUUUUCGAAUUUUGCAAUUUGGUGAUCAAAUCUUCGAAUUUCACAUCCUUGGUAAAUACUGUCAUCGAAUUUGAAAUCCUUGCUGAUCAUAUCUUCGAAUUUUUCAUCCUCGUAAUCGUAUCUUCGAAUUGUAUAACCUUGGUAAUCAUAUCUUCGAGUUUUUCAUUUAAAGGAACUUGUUACUUGCCACAAACUCUAACGUUAAAGUUUGUAUAUCUUUACAAACUGAUAUCGUAGAUUCUUGAUAUUUCAAACUCUGAAUUCUGACAGAUUAGAUAGUCGUAGUUAGAAAUAUCAAUCAUCAGGUUAUACAGAUAUAUGUUUAAAAAUUUAGGGUUGUGCAAAAUAAUCAGUUCCUUAAUAAAAUACUAAAUUAUUAAAAAAUUUCAACUUUUUACGAUUAAAGUAAAAAUUAUUUUUAAACAUUUAUAUUUGACAUUGUGUUAAAUUUUGUAAUCGUCCUUAUUAAUAUGUAUAGCUAUUAAAAUGCAAAAAAAAAAAUUUUUUUUUAAUUCCUGCACAAUAUAUUGUAAAUAUAUGUAAAAACUAUAAAUCUGUAGAAUGUAAGAAAUGAUAUUUAUUCUCUAUAUCUAUAUUUAUGAUUCAUGUUAAAUAAUGAUGGUUUCCUUUUAUCUAAAAUAUAUCUGUAGCAAUCAAUAAAAAUGUCUUUCAACCAGUUAUAGCCAGGGAUUGGCCUCGUUUACAGGAACGGUCAUUCCGAAAAUUAACGAUUGCAUAAAAACGCGUUAUUAAAAAAUGGAACGAUCGAAAAUUAAUGAACGUGUCGAACGAAUAGUAGU